CGCGUAGGCGGCCUCUCAAGCGGGAUCUCUAAUCCGAGGGCUCAACCCCCCGGCCCGGAUCCCGAACUGGGAGGCUCGAGUUCGGUAGAGGCAGGCGGAAUUCCCGGUGUAGCGGUGGAAUGCGCAGAUAUCGGGAAGAACACCGAUGGCGAAGGCAGCCUGCUGGGCCGCAACUGACGCUGAGGCGCGAAAGCUAGGGGAGCGAACA
rnacentral:rRNA from 1 species